CUACAGUAAUACAGAUCACGAUGGUGGAGAAUCCAUAAUCAAUUCAAAAUAUCUACAUUGGUCCAAUGAAACAUAGAAACUUCAGUUAUCCAAGAGAGUCAAUAAAAAGUCCAAUCUCUUGCUUCACAAAAUGAUGCGGAUAUUUCCAUUUCCUCCCGGAAUAAAAUUUACGUAUCCUUAUCAUAACUAUUAUGGUUCCUCUUUUUAUCGGUUUAUGCAACUAGAACUUCUUAUAUGUACAUCGACUUCCAUAUUUAAGCAUUUCUUAUA